rnacentral:rRNA from 1 species
CCUACGGGAGGCAGCAGUGGGGGAUAUUGCACAAUGGGGGGAACCCUGAUGCAGCGACGCCGCGUGGGUGAAGAAGCGCCUCGGCGCGUAAAGCCCUGUCAGCAGGGAAGAAAAUGACGGUACCUGAAGAAGAAGCACCGGCUAACAACGUGCCAGCAGCCGCGGCAAUACGUCGGGGGCAAGCGUUAUCCGGAUGUACUGGGUGUAAAGGGGGCGCAGACGGCGAUGCAAGCCAGGAGUGAAAGCACGGGGCCCCACCCCGGGACUGCUCUUGGAACUGCGUGGCUGGAGUGCAGGCGGGGCAGGCGGAAUACGUGGUGUAGCGGUGAAAUGCGUAGAUAUCAGGAGGAACCCCGAUGGCGAAGGCGGCCUGCUGGCCUGCAACUGACGUUGAGGCCCGAAAGCGUGGGGAGCGAACAGGAUUAGAUACCCCAGUAGUC